GCAAAUGAUCCGGAGAUAGAUAAAAAAGACAAGAUGCUGAGUCACCCUAAGGAUGCGAGCCAGUGGCAAGCGUUGAACUUCGAAUACCCAGAAUUUGGGAACGAUCCAAGGAACAUCGUGCUGGGCGCGAGCACCGAUGGAGUCAAUCCGUUUGGCAGCCAGAGAAGCACACAUAGCACCUGGCCUGUGUUUGUGUGGAUGUACAACCUUCCCCCCUGGUUGUGCAUGAAGAGGAAGUACAUUCACAUGAGUAUGCUAAUUGAAGGGCCGAAACAACCAGGGAACGACAUCAAUCUGUAUCUGGGGCUACUGAAAGAGGAGCUUGACACGCUGUGGAAAACGCCAGUCAAUACGUGGGACGCCGCAGAGAAAGAAUAUUUCCCUAUGAGAGCCGCACUGCUCACGACGGUGCACGACUAUCUCGGUUACGGAUAUCUUGCGGGGCAGGUAGUCCACGGAUUUUCUGGAUGCGUAAGGUGCAUGGAUGACACAACGUAUCGCCAGCUAGAUAGAGAUCCCGGGUCUCCGAAAACCGUGUUCAUGGGACAUCGAAGGUGGCUUCGCGAC
rnacentral:rRNA from 1 species